rnacentral:lncRNA from 1 species
CUAAAGCCUCUAAAACCCAUUCUUGACCCCUGCAGAGAAAGAGCAGGGGUAUGAGCCAGAAUGGAUGGCAUGGAGAAGAGGGAAUGAAAAAUAGAGAAACUCAUCAUCAUAGGGAGGAUGACCGGGUGAUACAUUUUGGGAAAAGCCAAGAGAAGCUCAUGAAAACUGGCAACUAAGCCAUGGAAGGUUGCCAUCUGCUGAGGCAGACAGAGGGCAUUACCAAAGAAAUCAUGGAUUCUUGAAGUACCAAGGAAAAUUUGAGUUCAUGUCUUUUCCUCCCUCCUAGGAAGGAAGAAGCUCUCGGAGGAAGGAUAUGAGCAAGCUAGGGGAAAUCUUAUAAAGUCUCCUAUCGGUGGUGGCACUUGAUAAACUGAUGCUAAGUGAAAAUAGUAGAAAGACUGCAGAGAAAUUCUCUCAGUGACUCAAGAGUCUUUUUGUACCUAUUAUUUAUCCUGGACGACAGAAACCCUAAUAAACAGAGAUCUACAAUGGAAGAGCAGUUAUAUCUGUUGAAUCGC